rnacentral:rRNA from 1 species
GAUGAACGCUGGCGGCGUGCCUAAUACAUGCAAGUCGAGCGAACGGACGAGAAGCUUGCUUCUCUGAUGUUAGCGGCGGACGGGUGAGUAACACGUGGAUAACCUACCUAUAAGACUGGGAUAACUUCGGGAAACCGUAGCUAAUACCGGAUAAUAUUUUGAACCGCAUGGUUCAAAAGUGAAAGACGGUCUUGCUGUCACUUAUAGAUGGAUCCGCGCUGCAUUAGCUAGUUGGUAAGGUAACGGCUUACCAAGGCAACGAUGCAUAGCCGACCUGAGAGGGUGAUCGGCCACACCGGAACUGAGACACGGUCCAGACUCCUACGGGAGGCAGCAGUAGGGAAUCUUCCGCAAUGGGGGAAAGCCUGACGGAGCAACGCCGCGUGAGUGAUGAGGGUCUUCGGAUCGUAAAACUCUGUUAUUAGGGAAGAACAUAUGUGUAAGUAACUGUGCACAUCUUGACGGUACCUAAUCAGAAAGCCACGGCUAACUACGUG